UACGUAGGGGGCAAGCGUUGUCCGGAUUUACUGGGCGUAAAGAGCGCGCAGGCGGUCGAAUAAGUCGAAUGUGAAAGCCCCCGGCUCAAACUGGGGGAGGGUCAUUCGAUACUGUUCGACUUGAAGGCAGGAGAGGGAAGCAGAAUUCCCGGUGUAGUGGUGAAAUGCGUAGAUAUCGGGGAGGAAUACCAGUGGCGAAGGCGGCUUCCUGGCCUGUUCUUGACGCUGAGGCGGCGAAAGCUGGGGGA
rnacentral:rRNA from 1 species